GAGAUAGGCGAGUGUGUUAUGACCUAUAAUGCCACACACACUCCGUCACACAAUCCCACACAGAAGCCCCCAGUCACGAUCGUUCGCAAGACCUCAGAUUUACGCAAGUGCAAGCCGAGCGAUCCUCUGUACGAUGCCCAGCUGCUUGGUCUCUUCGCUCAGCGAGCUAGCUUGACUUGCUCACAGUACUUCAUGCAUCCCACUGAUGUCCUCGCCCGGCAAUCUGACGAAG